rnacentral:rRNA from 1 species
GUUAAAAAGCUCGUAGUUGGAUUUCGGGUGUGGACGACCGGUCCGUCUUUGAUGUGUACUGGUCGGUUGCGCCUUAUUGUCGAGGACGUGUUUCUGGCCUUCAUUGACUGGGACACGGAGUCGGCAGCGUUACUUUGAGAAAAUUAGAGUGUUCAAAGCAGGCUAUCGCUCUGAAUACUACAGCAUGGAAUAACACGAUAGGACUCCGAGCCUAUUUGUUGGUCUUCGGGACCGGAGUAAUGAUUAAGAGGGACAGUUGGGGGCAUUCGUAUUCCGAUGUCAGAGGUGAAAUUCUUGGAUUAUCGGAAGACGAACAUCUGCGAAAGCAUUUGCCAAGGAUGUUUUCAUUAAUCAAGAACGAAAGUUGGGGGCUCGAAGAA